rnacentral:rRNA from 1 species
UACGAAGGGUGCAAACGUUGCUCGGAAUUAUUGGGCGUAAAGCGCACGUAGGCGGUAUUGCAAGUCGGAUGUGAAAUCCCUCGGCUCAACCAAGGAAGUGCAUCCGAAACUGCAGUACUUGAGUACGAAAGAGGAUCGCGGAAUUCCCGGUGUAGAGGUGAAAUGCGUAGAUAUUGGGAGGAACACCAGUGGCGAAGGCGGCUCACUGGACCGGAACUGACGCUGAGGCGCGAAAGCGUGGGGAGCAAACGGG